UACGUAGGGUCCGAGCGUUGUCCGGAAUUAUUGGGCGUAAAGGGCUCGUAGGCGGUCUGUUGCGUCGGGAGUGAAAACUUACAGCUUAACUGUGAGCGUGCUUCCGAUACGGGCAGACUUGAGGUAUUCAGGGGAGAACGGAAUUCCUGGUGUAGCGGUGAAAUGCGCAGAUAUCAGGAGGAACACCGGUGGCGAAGGCGGUUCUCUGGGAAUAUCCUGACGCUGAGGAGCGAAAGUGUGGGGAGCGAACAGGA
rnacentral:rRNA from 1 species